CACACGAGCAUCGUCGGAGCUCGAGGCUCUGCAUGCCUUCGUUCUCCCAUCUCCGGCGCGAAUCGAGCCAAACCACCACCGUAAAUGGAGUCAACGUGUUCUUGUUCGCCGGAACCCUUUGAUUCCGAUCUCUGGUUCCGCCCAGAACUCUGGCACGCGCCUCACGCGCCGCCGCAGGCGCGUGGACCACCAUAGCCACUGUGGACGCCGCCACGAGUGCCACCAGCUUAUCCUGUUCAUCUGGUAAGCCGGAUUUUUAUCCCUUCUCCUUAGUUGAGGCUUCUAGUUUGAGUAGAUUGAACUCUAGUAACUUGUUAUUUGAUUUGGAGAGCUUUGAGGUCCAUGGAGUCUGGGAACUCGAGGUUUUUGGAGGAGGAAAACUGCUAGCUUAGCUUCGAAUUGAGUUGGGUAAGGGAGCUUGAAGGAUUAAGGGUGGUGGAGUGCAACUUCGAUGACUCGGCUACUAAUUUGGAAAAGAAGAAUGGACUCGAGCGUGUGCCCAUGAAAUUGGAAGGAGUAUUGAAAGUCGGAAACGAAACUAAGUUUGUGCGAGCACUCCAAUUCCAGUGUGCAGGUUUUGAGCAUGUGGUCGGGAAGCGUAUAGGAGAGGCACAUGGCCCGGCUUGGCGUAUUCCUCUUUGUCUUUACAAAAGUACAGUUUUGGGUCCAUUAUCGGAUUUCGAAGUAACUUAUUUAUUUACUUUCUUACUAAUUUAUUUAUUUAUUUAUUUAUUUAUUUAUUUAUUUAUUUAUUUCCUACUCGCUUACACAAAUUCCGGGAGACCUGUAACCCUGGGGCGCGUCUCCCAUGCUUGUAGUUAUUUAGUGAAUUGUUUUAUUCUCCAAAUUGGGCUCCGAUUGCAAGCCCAAAACUCUUAGCCCAUUUCAAAUUCCGCUUUUGAAAAUUUGUUGUUCGGUUGCUAGAAUGUUUUGAGACAUUUGUCCAAGAAAGUGUUUUGUAAACCAACAACCUAAACUCAAACGGCCUUGCGGUUUUCGGGUUGAUGAGCUAUCGAGAUGCCAUUCGUGACAUGUCGAUUCCUCAUUGGCUCGAAGUCGCGGCGCUGUGGGACCCCCCUUUC